CAGCCGCCGCGGUAAUACGUAGGGUGCAAGCGUUAAUCGGAAUUACUGGGCGUAAAGCGUGCGCAGGCGGUUUUGUAAGUCUGUCGUGAAAUCCCCGGGCUCAACCUGGGAAUGGCGAUGGAGACUGCAAGGCUAGAAUCUGGCAGAGGGGGGUAGAAUUCCACGUGUAGCAGUGAAAUGCGUAGAUAUGUGGAGGAACACCGAUGGCGAAGGCAGCCCCCUGGGCUAAGAUUGACGCUCAUGCACGAAAGCGUGGGGAGCAAACAGGAUUAGAUACCCGAGUAGUCCCUGUCUCUUAUAA
rnacentral:rRNA from 1 species